AUUGAACGCUGGCGGCAGGCCUAACACAUGCAGGUCGAGCGGAUGAAGGGAGCUUGCUCCUGGAUUCAGCGGCGGACGGGUGAGUAAUGCCUAGGAAUCUGCCUGGUAGUGGGGGAUAACGUCCGGAAACGGGCGCUAAUACCGCAUACGUCCUGAGGGAGAAAGUGGGGGAUCUUCGGACCUCGCGCUAUCAGAUGAGCCUAGGUCGGAUUAGCUAGUUGGUGGGGUAAAGGCCUACCAAGGCGACGAUCCGUAACUGGUCUGAGAGGAUGAUCAGUCACACUGGAACUGAGACACGGUCCAGACUCCUACGGGAGGCAGCAGUGGGGAAUAUUGGACAAUGGGCGAAAGCCUGAUCCAGCCAUGCCGCGUGUGUGAAGAAGGUCUUCGGAUUGUAAAGCACUUUAAGUUGGGAGGAAGGGCAGUAAGUUAAUACCUUGCUGUUUUGACGUUACCAACAGAAUAAGCACCGGCUAACUUCGUG
rnacentral:rRNA from 1 species